ensembl:lncRNA
GGUGGGAAACAUGGUGUCUCACGGUGUCGACAAAGGAAGCAACAUUUGGUUCCACAAGCUGCCUAGGAAUCCUGGGCCCUCCUGUGAAUGAACACAGUUUGAAUCAACCUAUCAACGACCCUCAGAUACAGCAUCCAGAUACAUCAUUGCCAAGGUGACGACCGUCUCCUACAACACCUAUUCCAGGCAAUCUGAAGAAAGAAAGCGCUGGAGCACUGGGCUAGAAUCAGAAGACCCACACUCGAGCUCCAGUCUGGCUCCCAGUUCGUUGGGUGGCCUUAAUUAGGACUCUUCUUCUCUGGCCAUUAGCUGCGGACUCUCUCAAAGCAGUGCACGGCCUAGGGAGGCUGCUAAAGCCCAUCAAACUAUGGUUCUCUGUAAGUGGCCUCUGAAGGUGCCCACAGCCAUCACAUACUUGACCUAUGGUACAGGAGCCACAGUCAUUGCAGACCACAGACUCCUUAAGAGACCCCAGCUGAAUUUUCAAGUGUCUGUAGCUUCCUUCUGUCUUCCAGCUCCUGGAAAUGAGGCCCUGAGGGAGCCUGACAAGGCCUGUCCUGGGAGGUGCCAGCGGAAAGGGAAGGAGAGUCCCAGGCAGAGAACCGAUUAAAUAGCAUUUUAUCCCAAUAAUGAUGUCUCCAAGAGAACCCCUCUAAGCACCAGAUCCACUCUCCAGGGGACACUAGUUAACAGCAAGACCAGCACAGAAGAGUUGAAGGACUCCUGUUGGUGGCCACCUGUCUCUUGUUGCCAUGGGUUGGUUCCAACAUGAAGGAAUAUUUUACCACAUAAAGAACCACUGCAGAACUUAAGUUACGUGUCUUCUCUCUACUUAUGUCAGUGGAAAAUGUACAAGAAAAAAGAAAGUGUCGUUUAAAACAACUAUUUUCUAAAGCAAAUGGUGUGAGCAAGAAAGAUGACACAUGAGCCAGGACAC